UACGUAGGUGGCAAGCGUUAUCCGGAAUUAUUGGGCGUAAAGCGCGCGCAGGCGGUCCUUUAAGUCUGAUGUGAAAGCCCACGGCUCAACCGUGGAGGGUCAUUGGAAACUGGGGGACUUGAGUGCAGAAGAGGAGAGCGGAAUUCCACGUGUAGCGGUGAAAUGCGUAGAGAUGUGGAGGAACACCAGUGGCGAAGGCGGCUCUCUGGUCUGUAACUGACGCUGAGGCGCGAAAGCGUGGGGAGCGAACAGG
rnacentral:rRNA from 1 species